rnacentral:lncRNA from 10 species
GAAAUUUGCACUUGUAGUUGCUGCUAUUUUUGGAACCAAUGAAAAAGUUUCACAGAUUAUUAACUUUUAGUAGUUGAAGAUUUUUAGAUUGAAAGAUUGCUGGGAGAGACAACCUCGCCAUCUGAUUAACGGCAUGAAUUUCUUCUUUAUAAUGUUCAACUACAGUAUGAAUUGGCAAACAUUUUCUCUAAAGCUCAACACAGUAAAUAUUUUAAGCUUUACAGGGCCAUACCAAACAGGUGCUGGACCAGACCUGGACUCCCUGGGGCCACAGAGCUUCAUUUGAACUAAGUAGAAGACUGCUCUGGUUAGGGAGGCAAUCGGUAAAGAAAAUGAAGCAUCCAUCUAGCAUCAUCCCACUGGGAGGAAAGAAGGAGACCAAAAGAAGGUAAACAAUAGCAAAAAAAUCUCUGAAGGAGUAAAUCAAGAUGGAGUUGAUGGAUAAGGAGGAAUAAAACUACUCCAAUUAUCUGGAACUUACACUAAAUGAAAAGCAAGUCUCCAAGAUAGAAGCUGAGCAUGACAAACAAAUGCUGACAAUAUCAGAGAUUCCCUGCCCAGAGAGGAGGAAUCUAGAGAGGCAGUCUGGCUACAGUGGCUUUGCUGCGCUGCGGUGGGUUCUGCCAAGCUCAAACUUCCAGGUGGCUUUGUUUACACUGUGAAGGGAAAACCGCCUACUCAAGCCUCAGUAAUGGUGGAUGCCCCUCCCUCCACCAAGCUCCAGUGCCCCAGGUCGACUUCAGACUGCUGUGCUGGCAACGAGAAAUUUCCAGCCAGUGGAUCUUAGCUUGCUGGGCUCCGUGGGGCUGGGACCUGCUGAGCAAGACCACUUGGCUUUCUGGUCUCAGCCCCUUUCCAGGUGAGUGAACAGUUCUGUCUCACUGGGGUUCCAGGCACCACUGGGGUAUGAAGAAAAACUCCUGCAGCUAGCUUGGUGUCUGCUCAAAUGGCCGCCCAGUUUUGUGCUUGAAACCCAGGGCCCUGGUGGUGUAGGGACCCCAGGGAAUCUCCUGGUCUGCAAGUUGCAAAAACCGUGGGAAAUGCAUAGAAUCUGGGCCAGAUAGCACCUUCCCUCACUGCACAGUCUCUCACAGCUUCCUUUGGCUAGAAGAGGGAGUUCCCAGAUCCCUUGCACUUCCCAG